ACUAUCUUGUGGCCCGUCGGUUCCGGGGAUUCCCCGGAUUGAAAGGGAAGCCGGUCCAAACCCGGCACUGCCCCGCAGCGGUAGGUGGAGACGAGGUCGCGAUUUCGCACUGGGGCGGUGGCCCUGGGAAGCGGCGGCCAAGGUGGCCGGGAAAUAUUCCCGCCGCAUCCACGAGUCCGAAGACCUGCCGACAGCCGCGCGAUGCAC
rnacentral:ncRNA from 15 species